rnacentral:rRNA from 1 species
AGUGAACGCUGGCGGUAGGCCUAACACAUGCAAGUCGAACGGCAGCACAGUAAUAGCUUGCUCUUACGGGUGGCGAGUGGCGGACGGGUGCGGAAUACAUCGGAAUCUACUUUUUCGUGGGGGAUAACGAAGGGAAACUUACGCUAAUACCGCAUACGACCUACGGGUGAAAGCAGUGGAUCUUCGGACCUUGCGCGAUUGAAUGAGCCGAUGUCGGAUUAGCUAGUUGGCGGGGUAAAGGCCCACCAAGGCGACGAUCCGUAGCUGGUCUGAGAGGAUGUUCGGCCACACUGGAACUGAGACACGGUCCAGACUCCGACGGGAGGCAGCAGUGGGGAAUAUUGGACAAUGGGCGCAAGCCUGAUCCAGCCAUACCGCGUGGGUGAAGAAGGCCUUCGGGUUGUAAAGCCCUUUUGUUGGGAAAGAAAAGCAGCAGGUUAAUACCCCGCUGUUCUGACGGUACCCAAAGAAUAAGCACCGGCUAACUUCGUG